GCUGGCUUGGCUGCAGGUUUUGCAGCAGCGGUUCUAGCCGCUGGCUUGGCUGCAGGUUUUGCAGCAGCGGUUCUAGCCGCUGGCUUGGC
rnacentral:tRNA from 1 species